UGAGCUCAUCGUCUAAUGGAUAAGACAGCAACCUUCUAAGUUGGUAAUGCAGGUUCGAUUCCUUCUGGGCUCAA
rnacentral:tRNA from 1 species